rnacentral:misc_RNA from 1 species
UGGAAUGAACCCAAUGCAAGUUGUUGGAGCUGUUGGUUUCCAGAAUCGUCGCCUUGAAAUCCCCAAGGAUGUUGAUCCCUUAGUUGCAAGGAUAAUUUUAGAAUGUUGGCAGACUGAUCCGAACUUGCGUCCAUCCUUUGCACAGCUUGCAGUAGCUCUCAAGCCCUUGCAGCGGCUUGUUGUCCCUGCACAUCUUGAACAACCAAGCUCACCUCUGCAGCAGGAGAUCUCUGUAAAUUCUACACCUUGAAACGUCUCAAUUCGUCAAUUGUGGAUAAGGAGACAUUCGUGGUUGUUUUGCAUUCGGUGAGGCUAGCACAUGAACUUUAGAUAAAGGAAAACAAGAAGAGGAGAGAAUGGAUGUUUGCUGCUUCCACCCAAAAAAUGUAGAAGCCCUUUUUAUGUACAUCUUGAUAUAGAUGGAAUUGAACUCUGUAAUAUAUGUAUUCAAAGGCGUUGAAUUUGAAUUAAAAUUAAAAUUAAAUUUUCAAAUAAUAAUGUGA